rnacentral:lncRNA from 1 species
CACAUCGUGGUGGUGAGGCUCGGAGUGUUGAGUGUUGGGGAGAGGGAGGGAUGGGGUCUCGCCUGGAGCACAGAGAGGGCAGUGGCCCCUCUUUACCUGGCAGUGGCAGAGGCUGGAAGAGGGGGAGGGGAUCCGAGUGGAACACCUUGAAUUUGGGGCUCCGCCCUGGCUCCUAGCUUCCUCUUCUCCGCGUCCGAUCCGUCAGCAAGUCAGUAGGCUCUAGUGAGGCAGGGUCAUGUGGUGGUUAGAGCUGAAACCCUGGAGCCAGAUGGACUUGGGUCAAAUCUCUGCUCUGGAUGACCUUAGGCAAGUUACUCAAUCUUCCUGUGCCUUGGUUUCCCUAUCUGUAAAAUGAGGCUAAGAAUUUUACCCACCUCCAGGGGAUUUUGUGAAGAGUGAGUGAGUUAAUUUACCAAGGGUGCUAGAAGAGCGCCUGGCAUGUAGUAGACCCUAUUUGAGUUUGCCAUUAUGCUGUGUAAAACAUUUCCCCAAUCCUCUGCUUCUCUCUGUCCCUAUUAUUACGACACUCAUCCAAGCCACCACCUUCACUGGCAGGGACCCUGCAGGAGGCUCCUUCAUAGGAGUCCUGUUUCCGCUCCCCAGUCUUCCCAACUCUCGCACUGCAGCCAGGGUGAUAUUUUGAAACUGCAGAUCAAUCCAUCUUACUCCUUUGCUUAAAAUUGUCCCACGACCUCUCAUCCAUGGCAUUUAGAAUAAAGUCCCAAAUCACUAUUCCUGGAUUACAACAUCCCUCACCAUUUGGCCUUCCUUUCCACGUCAUUUCCUCACCACUAAAUUCCAGAUUCCCUGACCUUCCUCUUCUUUAACAUGCCAAGCACACUCCUGCUGUGGGCCUUUGCACCAGCUGUUCCCUCCGCCUGGAUUAAUCUUUCCCCUAGUCCAUGCGUGACUAGAUUCUUCUUGUCCCUCAGGUCUCAGCUGAGGCCACCCAAUGUCAUGUGGGCUCUGCUCACUCACGUUGUUCAUGCCUAUUUUAAUUCUCUGCAUGGUACUCACUACCCUCUUGUAUUGUCUUGGUUUUGUUUAUAUCUGUUCUACUUUGGAUUUCCCUAAAAGCAGAGACUGAGACAAAGGUCUGGGUGCAGGUAGCUUAUUUGGAAGGUGUUGCCAGAAGGUGGGGGUGAGGAGGCACCGAGAGUGAGAUGAGGAGGGCGCAAAGUCCAUGUAAGGGUGUUGUCAGCCUCACUGCUGUAGGGGAGGGGCUGCAUCCCACAGGACCUCUGGGAAGCAUUCAGAAUACCUGGCGGGGUUGUCCUGCCAAAGAUGGGAGGCCGAAGCCUUUAUCCACUGGCUCCCAUCCCCACUGGUGGCGGCUGCUUCCGGGGUGUCGGUUCCCUGACUACCAGCCUGUGCUUGCCUGAGGGCCAAGGUAGUUCCAGAUGCAAGGCUGCACUGGAGAAGGCUCUGGAGCCAGAGGCAAGUCAGCACUUUUCAAGACAGCCGUGGCUAAACUCAGAGGUGGGCGACAGGCUCCAUGGUGUCUGCUGCCUGACCCAUUGCCCCACUAGAGUGCAAGUUCUUAGCGAGCGGAGACUGUCAUUUCUGUUCACAGAUGUGUCCCAAGAGCCCAGCACAGGGCCUGACAGACAGCAGGGAGCAAUGAAUAUUAAUUGAAGGAAGUUAAUCCUUUCAUCAAUCCAGUAGUAGGUACUACUGUUAUCCUCAUUUUUAGACGAGGAAAUUAAGACUCAGUCUUGCUUACAGGGGUCACCCGGCUCACUGGUGAUGCAGCUGGAAUAUCAACCCAGGCAAUCUGACUUUAGACUCCAAGCUUCGACCUACAAGAACUUACUUCAUCAGGAGCUAGAGUUACUGAGGAAUAUUAUCAGACCUGAUCCUCAAAUUUAGUAUUGGCAGUGUAAUGCUUUUAGGUAUUUUUUAGAAGAUUGCCUCGCUUCUAUGGCAUAAUGGCUUUCAUGUUGUAUUAGGCUGUGAUUUAGAGGUUUCAUAAGAAUGGAAAAUGCAAAUGGCUCAAAUGCCUUGCAGGGGAAGAUAAAUACUUGGCAGCUGGCCAGGGUCAAUCCAAGAGCAGGUGGGGAGGCUCCUGGCAGAAACUGGAGAGUGCAUGCUUCAUUUAAAGUGAGCCUCGGUGGUGGCCUAUACUUGGUGCCUUACAGCAAGGGUCAGCAAACCUUUCCUGUAAAGGGCUGGAUAGUAAACAGGCUUUGUGAGCCAUACAGUCUCUGUGGCGGCUGCUCACCUCUCCCAUUGCAGCAUGAAGGUAGCCACUGAGAAUACAUAAACAAAUGAGUGUGACUGUGUACCAAUAAAACUUUAUUUGCAAAAAUGGGUGACAGGGCAAAUUUGGCCCAAGGGCUAUAGUUUGUUGACCUCUGCCUUAUAGAAAUGUAGUCCAGAUCUUCUGAUUUUUCGAGAGAAGAUGAAAGUUGGGAUUUUUUGUGAAAUUUCCCAAUUCUGAAAAUAUCAUAUAGGCUGCCAGUUUGCACUCACUAAUUUAGUGGCUUGCCAUAUUGCCUCAGAGGUUGGUAUAUUUCUGUUCAGGAAACAAGACAUAAAUAUCAACAACCAUAAUACACGUAGUAUAUGAAUAAUACUGCAGUUCAAAAGAGAACAUUUCCUCUGGACUGAGAAAUAGUUACCAAAGGCUUUGGGAGGAGGUGGUGCUUAGCUGUGGUUAAAAGUUAGGUAAUGUUUUUCCAUGUAAAAUGUACAGUGUGGGAGCAUUCCCAGCAAAGGCAAUGGUAUGAGCAAAAAUAUUUGGGGAACCACAAAUAUUUAUUCUGACAGGGAGCAGCAGGCGAUAAGGCUGGGAAGGCAAAGAAGAUCAAGGACUGCCGAGGGGGCGGGGUCCCGUCUGCAGUCCUUGAGCCCCGUGCUCAGAACUGCCUGUUAGGAAGGUUGAUGUUAGCAAUGCCCGUUAAAGAUUGGAGCAUAGAGGGAUCAAAAUGGGGAGGCCAGUUAAGAGAGCGCAAAAGACUGAAUGUUUGUGUUCCCCCCCCAGAUUCGUAUGUUGAAGUUCUAAUCCCCAGCAUGAUGGUAUUUGGAGGUGGGGCCUUUGGGAAGAAAUCUGGUUUGAAUGAGGUCAUGGGGUGGAGCCCCCAUGGUAGGACUGGUGCCCUUACAAGGGGACAAAGGGACUAGAGCUUUCUGUUCCUGCCCUGUGAGGAUACUGCAAGAAAGCUGCUGUUUGUAAACCAGCAAAAGGGCUCUCCCCAAGAACCCACGCAUGCUGGCUCCCUGAUCUCAGACAUCCAGGCUCCAGAACUGUGAGAGGGAAAUGCGUGUUGUCUAAGUCAGCCAGUUAUGGUAAUUUGUUAUAGCAGCCCGAGCUACCAGGGAGGCUGUUGUAAUAGGCGGUAAGAGCUUCUUGAAAUGAGCUCUGAGCUUGAAAUCAAAUUUCUAGCUUUAGAAUAUAAACAUAGGAUGCCAGAACUGAGAGGAAGUUCAGAGAUCUAACGAGGACUGCACCCCAUUGACAGAUGGGGAGGCUGUGAUCCGAGAAGAGAUGUCAAACAGCAAACCAGGGUAGGGGUAGGCCUGCAGCCUGGAUUCCCAGGCGCAUUUGAGCACGCACGCCAAAGUGCUUUGGAAGCAUAGACUCUGGGGAAGGAAAAAGAGUUUUCACUGCAUGUAUCCUAUAGUGAAAUGUGGCAGCUGCUCACCUCUGCCACUGUAGCAUGAAAGUAGCCACGAAGAAUACAUAAACAGUGUAUUUCACUACAUGCAAAGUCCCAGCAUAAAAUUUAAAAACAGCAGCAAAAACACUUGCAACCAAUUCAAUAGACGGAGGCUUGUUAGUUUUAGUAUAUAACUAGCUCUUCCUUUUGCAAAACGCUGAUAUGCCAACAGAAAGAUGGGUGAAGGACAGUUUGUAGAAGAAAUAUAAACAACAGAGAAUCACAUUUUUAAAACUUGCUGGAAAGCAAAGAAAUGUGAAGUAAAACAAUGUAUUCAAGUUCAUAAUCAAUUGGGGAGAAAUUUUAAUAUUUUUUCCUUUUUUUUUUUUUAAUAGUGACUUAGCGAAGGUCCAGGGAAGCAGGCGCCUUAUUUUUUCCAGCUUUAUUGAGAUAGAAUUGACUUUCGAUAUUGGGUAAGCAUAAGGUGUACAACGUGAUGACUUGAUACAUAUAUAUGUUGUGAAAUGUUUAUCACAAUGAGUUAACACCUCCUUCACCUCACGUAAUUGCCAUUUUGUUGCUAUGGUGAGAAUAUUAAAAGUCUACUCUGGUAGCAACUUUUCAGUACUGUUAAUAGUAGUCCCCAAGUGUACAUUAAUCCCAAGAACUUAUUCAUCUUCUAACUGGAAGUUUGUACUCUUUGACCAACAUCUCCCAUUUCCCCCACUCCUCAGCCCAUGGCAACCACCAUUCUACUGUUUCUGUGAGUUUGAUGUUUUAGAUUCCACAUGUAAAUAAGAUCAUACAGUAUUUGUCUUUCUCUGAUUCAUUUCCCUUAGCAUAAUUCCCUCAAGGUCCAUCCAUGUUGUCACAAAUGGCAGGAUUUCCUUCUUUUUUAUGGCUGAAUAAUAUUCGUGUGUGUGUGUGUGUGUGUGUGUGUUUCUGUUUGUAUCUGUUUGUGUGUAUCACCUUUUCUUUGCCCAUUCAUCCAUUGAUGGCCACUUUCGAUGGAUUUAGGUUGCUUCCAUGUCUUCUUUUUUUUAAGGUUUUAUUUUUUCCUUUUUCUCCCCAAAGCCCCCCAGUACAUAGUUGUAUAUUUUAGUUGUGGGUCCUUCUAGUUGUGGCAUGUGGGACCCUGCCUCAGCAUGGCCUGAUAAGCAAUGCCAUGUCCACGCCCAGGAUCUGAACCUGCGAAACCCUGGGCCGCCGAAGCGGAGUGCACGAACUUAACCACUCGGCCACAGGGCUGGCCCCUGGUUGUUUCCAUGUCUUGGUUCUCUAUUUUGAAUGAAGCUACAAUGAACAUGGGGGUGCAGAUAUCUCUUCAGUAUCUUGUUUUCAUUUCCUUUGGAUAAAUACCCAGAAAUGCGAUUGCUGGAUCAUAUGGCAGUUCUAUUUUUAAUUUUUUGAGGAACCUCCAUACUGUUUUCCAUAGUGGUUGUACCAGUCUACAUUCCGACCAACAGUGAACCAGGGUUCCUUUUUCUCCACAUCCUCGCCAGCAUUUGUUAUCUCUUGUCUUUUUUAUAAUAACCAUUCUAACAGGUAUGAGGUGAUAUUUUACUGUGGUUUUGACUUUCAUUUCCUUGAUGAUGAGUGAUGUUGAGCACCUUCUCACGUUUUUGUUGUUAGUGCUGUCAAGUCAAUUCCGAAUCCUAGUGACCCUGCGUACAGCAGAGUGGAAUCCGGGCCAGUCUUUGUGCACCAUCCUCUCACCUUCCACUGCUCUAUCAGACAAUGCUCCACUGCUAUCCACAGGGUUUUUAUGGCCAACUUUUUCAGAAGUGGGUGGCCAGGUCCUUCUUCCUAGUCUGUCAUAGUCUGGAAGCUCCACUGAAACCUGUCUACCAUGAGUGAUCCUGCUAGUAUUUGAAAUACCAGUGGCAUAGCUUUUAGCAUCACAGCAACAUGCAGCUGCUACAGUAUGAUAACCGACAGAUGAGUAGUGUGCUUCACUGACCAGGAAAUGAACCCGGGCUGUGGCAGUGAGACUGCUGAAUCAUGACUACCAGGGCUGGCUCCUUUUCAUGUACUUCUUGGCUAUUUGUAUGUCUUCUUUGGGGAAAAUGUGUUCAAGUCAUCUGCUCAUUUUAAAAUCAGAUUUUUUUUUGCUAUUAAGUUGUAUGAGUUCCUUAUAUAUUUUGGUUAUUAACCCCUUAUCAGAUACAUGAUUUACAAGUAUUUCCUCCUACAGAAUAGGCUGCCUUUUCAUUGUGUUGAGGGUUUCUUUUGCUUUGCAGAAGCUUUUAGUCUGAUGUCGUCCCACUUGUUGAUUUUAAAGCAGGCGCCUUCUAACGUUGUGCGGACAGGAAUGUGUCUUGGUAGAACCACCUGGAGGUCAAUUUCUCAUCGAUUUCAGAAGCCUUAAAACUGUUCAAACCUUUAUCAUGGCAAUUUCACUUCUAGGAGUGUAUCCUCAGGAUAUAAUUGGAGAGGCAUGAAGAAAAUAUGUUUUUAGGAUUUUCAUCUCAGUGUUCUUUAUAACACACAGAGAAAAAACAGAAUCAAUGUAAAUGUUACCAAUGGCUCCUAGCGAUAUUUUAAAAUAUCCAACAAUAAAAGUCUGGUUAAAUAAAUGAUGAUUUAGCUAUAUAAUAGAAUAUCACGCAGCCAUUUGAAAGACUUUUUUUUUUUUUUAUGAGGAAGACUGUCCCUGAGCUAAUGUUCAUGCCAAUCUUCCUCUAUCUUGUAUGUGGGGUACCUCCACAGCAUGACUUGAUGAGUGACUGGUAGGUCCACACCUGGGAUUCGAACCCCUGAACCCUGGGCCACCGAAACAGAGCAUGCGAACUUAACUACUCCGUCAUGGGGCCAGGCCCUGAAAGAUAUUUUUAAGGUACUCAUGAAAAAAUGCUCAUAAGAUAAUUUUGGGCUUAGAAGCAGCAGGAUACAAAACUAUGUACAUAUACGAUUAUAACUGAACGAUGAUAUAGUAAUUUUGGCUCACCCUUAUUCAGUGCCCUCUACAUACCAGGCAUUAUAUCAUUUGAUCUUUAUAUAACUUUCUAAAGGAAGUAUUAUUAUCCUCGUUUUGCAAAUGAGGAAUCUGGGGUUAAAUAACUUGCCUGAGAUCAUCAACUAGAAAGAAGCAAGGUCAAGCUUGAAGUCGGAGCUCUUAGAGCCCCGAUGAACCACUGAGCUGGCGGGAGGUACAGUGGCCAGGGGAGGGGAGGGAAAUACAUCAAAAAUGUCCUGUGUGAGGGCCUGGCCCCAUGGCCGAGCGGUUAACUUCACGCGCUCCGCUGCAGGCGGCCCGGUGUAUCGUUGGUUCGAAUCCUGGGCGCGGACAUGACACUGCUCGUCAAACCACGCUGAGGCAGCGUCCCACAUGCCACAACUAGAAGGACCCACAACAAAGAAUAUACAACUACGUACCGGGGGGCUUUGGGGAGAAAAAGGAAAAAAUAAAAAAAUCUUUAAAAAAAAAAGAUGUCCUGGGUGAUGGAAUUAAGGUCCCCAUCUCAGUAAAGGGGAACUUCUGCCUUCAGGUGCUGAGGACUAAAAGCUUGAGGUCAUUCUGAUUCCCUCUUUCACACCCCACAUCUGGUCCAUCAGCAGAUCCUAUCAGCUCCAACUUCAAAAGACAGUCAGAAUCCGGUCCCUUCCCACCUCCUCCACCGCUUGCACCUGGAGCCUCCCAGCUGGUCUCCCUUGCCCCUCACCGUCCAUGUGUGCAGCCCGGGACACCAUCGCAUUGGUAUUGCAUGGUUGCCCGGUGGUGGGAGGAGGGUGGAGUCCUUCAGGAUCUUGAACAUAUUGUAAUCAUGUUUUAAUAGUGUUACAAAGAGAGUGACACUUAUAUGAUCAAAACAUUUUAAAACAGAAGAUGGAGCAGCACCUCCCCACCCCCCAGCCUCAAGGCCCCCGGCUGAGUGGCUGCCACCCUAAUCCUCAGCUCCUCAACCCUGGGUUUCUGAACCCCCUGGGCUCUCUGGAAGCCCCUCAGAGAAGGUGACCUGGUGGCGUCUCGUGGCCUGAGGAAAGCAGUGCCCAGCGGCUAGCAGGCAGGACUGCCUCUGCCUGAGAGUCCCACGGCAGGCCCCGACAGGAUUGUCUGGUGGCUUUUUACUGUCCAGUCUCAGUUUCCUUCCUGUUCAUUGUCUGUCAGAGGAGGGGGGUCUGGCAGGCUCAGGGGCUUUGAAGUUAAUGGCUCCUUUUAUUUCCUCCUCCUGGAGUCUGGGGAGUUCCUAGGGUCUCGUUCCAUUGUUCCCCACAGAGUCCUAGGCAGACUGGAAGGCUCCUUACCACACACCUAUCCCAGAGCUCUGAAACGAGGGCUGAUGCUGUGGGUGGCCACAUGGCAAAAAAAAAAAAAAAAAAAGAAAGAAAGAAAGAAAGAAAAAAGAGAAGCCAGUAUUUUAAAAAUCAGGAGAUAUCUCAAUUUCUUCUUGCUUUGAAAAAUCUUACCAUCUGGCAACAAUGGGCCCACAUCCAGAGCCAGAACAAUCCCAGGGCUGCAGAAGGGGCUCCUCGCUUUGGAUGCACCGUGAGCUGUCCUGCUCACCACAGUCCUCCCCACUCCCAGUGCUUCCCUGGCCCCUCAACUGGGGUGGCCAUUGACCAUCAAAUUGUGCUGUUGUUUUUCUGAGAAAGAAAAGCACUUCUCUCUCCUCUUGUCUCUUUCAAAGUGGGGGGUGAGGGGUGGGGGAGUUGGGCCAGGAAGGCUGUGAGAAUUUUCUUCCACCCAGCGAGCUUCUUUCUCUUAUGUUGUCUUCUUGAUCCUCUUAUCCCCCUGGGUUGUAUCCCCCCUGGUCUAAUCCCAUCCCCUCCUCUUUUUUUCUUUUUUUAAGAUUUUAUUUUUCCUUUUUCUCCCCAAAGCUCCCCGGUACAUAGUUGUGUAUUUUCAGUUGUGGGUCUUUCCACUUGUGGCACGUGGGACGCCGCCUCAGCAUGGCUUAAUGAGUGGUGCCAUGUCCGUGCCCAGGAUUCAAACUGGUGAAACCCUGGGCUGCCGAAGCGGAGCGUGUGAACUUAACUACUCGGCCACGGGGCCGGCCCCCCAUCCCCUUCUUUGACAGAAGGAGAAACUGAGGUCCACGGAAAGAGGGCUACCUGCCAAGUCCCCACAGUGAAUUUACACAGUGCUUGCUUCAGGCUGUAAAGAACAAUGUCCUAGGAAGGUUCUAGAAUGUUUUGUUAUUAUUACAAGUGGCAAGUAUUAGAGAGCAGGAUGUACUUCCACUCAAGUUUCUUCUUUUCACAGUCACAACAGUCUUUUAAAGAAAGAGUAGUUCCUCCAUUUUACUAAUAUGAACAAUGAGGCCCAAAGAGCAUCAGUGUCCAGGGUCACACAACUUUCUGGGUCUCAUUUGAAAAAUGGGGAUUAAAAACCACUUACCAACCUGAAGUCUGGGCCAGUGAUUGCUUCAGGCCCCCUUGGGCUCUGCUACCCACGUGUCCAUCAUUUAUCAAUUCAGUAAACCUAUAGUGACCAUCUCCUCUACCUCAGGCACUGUACUUGUCUUCAAGGAGCCUAAACUGUGUGAGGGCAAAUAGUAAUGGCGGGCAGAAAUGCAGAAAACCUCAUCCCCAAAGUGCCCCUGGAGGGGGAUGGGUGAGUUCCCAUGAAGAGUGGUGUGGCACACGAGGUCUGUGAAAGGAAACAGAAGUGCAUGUCUAGUCUGUUUGGGCUGCUAUACCAACAUACCACAGGCCGGGUGGCUUAUAAACAAGAGGAAAUUAUUUCUCACAAGUUCUAGGGGCUGGAACUCCCAAGAUCAAGGCACCAGCAGGGUCACAUUCUGGUGGGGGCCCUGUUCCUGCUUCAUAGCCAGCACCUUCUGGCUGCGUCCUCACAUGGUGGGCAGGCCAGGGAUGUCUAUGGGGUCUCUUUUAUAAAGCACUAAUCUGAUUCAUGAGGGCUCCACCCCAUGACCUAGUCAUCUCCCCUGGGCCCCACCUCCUCAUACCAUCACCUUUAGGGGUUAGGAUUUCAACAUAGGAAUUUGAGAGAAACACAAACAUUCAGACCAUAGCAAUGGGUUUCCUCUGGGGUAGAGUUCAGAGGGGACAGAGGUGGGAGCUGGGCUGGCUACAUGAUUUUCAGGGCCCAGUACAAAAUGAAAACACAGCACUCCUUGUUCAAGAAGCUGGGAAAAGUGUUGUUAAAGUGCUAAAAUAUAAAGUUCUGUCCUUUCUUCUGCCAUCUCUUGACUUGCCAUGGGUUUUUUUUUUUUUAAUUUGCGAUUUAAUGUUCUCAGUAAAGAAAAAUUAAAAAUAUUAGCAUGAGUUUUAUCAUUCGUCUUUAUAUUGUGCAGUAACACUUUUCAAUGCAAAAAUAAGAGCAUUUAACUCACAUAUAGGAUCCCUGAGAUUACGCAAUUUGUAUUUUUUGGCUUGUAUGUGCUCAUGUAUUUAGUUCAUACAAUAACACUGCAUAUGCUAUACAAAACUAACUCAACUGGUUUUAUUUCACUUCUUUUUGUUUUUGUUUGGGGGUGUUUCAUUUUUUAAAUAAAUAUUGUGUAUUUAAGCUAUAAAACAUGAUGUUUUGCUAUAUGUAUAUACAUAGUGAAAUGAUUACUAUAGUCAAGCUAACUAACAGCCAUCUCCUCACAUAGUUACUUUUUUCUGGGGGAGGGGGGUGACGAGAGCACCUGAGAUCUACUCUCUUAGCAAAUUUCCAGCUUACCAUACAGAGUCAUUGACUACAGUCCCCAGGCUGUACGUUAGGUCUCCAGAACUCAUUCAUCCUGCAUAAUGGCAACUUUAUCCCCUUUGACCAACAUCUCUUCAUUUCCCCACCUCCCUGCCCCUGGUAACCACUGUUUUACUCUGCCACUAUGAAUUCGACUCCUCUGGAUUCCACAUGUACAUGAGACCAUGCAGUCUUUGUCCUUCUGUUACUGGCUUAUUUCACUUAUCAUAGUGCCCUCGAUUUAUCUCAAAUGGCAUAAUCCCCUUUUUUAGGCUGAAUAAUAUUCUCCUGCGUGUGUGUGUGUGUGUGUGUGUCUGUGUCUGUGUCUGUGUGUAUCCAUUCAUCCAUCGAUGGACACUUAGGUUGUUUCCACAUCUUGGCUACUGUGAAUAAUGCUGCAAUGAACUUCUUGAGGAAAACUGAAGAUGGAGGCAGAGACUGCAGUCAGGCAGCUGCAAGGUGAGGAACACCACGGACUGACGGCACCAGCAGAAACGAGGAAGAGGCAAGAAAGGAUUCUACCCAGAGCCUCAGAGAGAGCAUGGCCCUGCUGACACCUCGAUUUCAGACUUGUAGGCUCCAGAACUGGAGAUAAUAAAGCUCUGUUUUUCUAAGCCACCCAGUGUGUGGUACUGUGUUACAGCAGCCCUGGGAAACUAUACACCUUUCUGUGUUCAAAGCAAGUUCUAGUUCAAGCUGAAAGCAGGGCCUCUAGGAGCUGUCAGUUCCUCCUGCCCUCCUCUCCCCACAUUGUAGACAUAAUUCACUUACCUUCUACUUCCUUUGAAUCUUGCUGAACUCCCACGCCUUAUAGAUUCACUGGAAUUCGGUGCUCAUGGGGCAUGGAGAACACUAUACGCAAAUGGGGCAGCAAGGGACAGCAGACACCUACUGCACAACUCUCUGUUCAGGUGCGUGCUCUGCCGUCCCCCCCGACUUCAUUUACAAAAUACGGGUUCAAAGAUAAAAUUCUUUCUUCUUCUUUUUUUUUUUCUUAAAUAGAUCGAGUUAAGAGUCUUUGUGAACACAGGUCCUGGCCUUUGUCAGUUAACUGAAUCCCUAGUUGAACCCUGUACUAUAAGGGAUGUGGCAGAAAUAGGCUCUGUUUCAGGCCCUUUGGUUUGUUUUAGGACUUUUGUUUUUUGUUUUUUGUGGUUUUUUUGCUGAGGAAGA